rfam:Bacillus marisflavi strain JCM 11544 scaffold1, whole genome shotgun sequence.
GAACGAUUAGUAGGCGCUUGCAAAAGCGGGAAUAUCAACAUUUCGUGAUAAAUAUUUCCCAUGGCACUCAACGUGCUUGAACGACUUAGGAGGAUUUAGAUUAUGCAAAAUGGUAAAGUAAAAUGGUUCAACAACGAAAAAGGUUUCGGUUUCAUCGAAGUUGAAGGUGGAGACGACGUAUUCGUACACUUCUCUGCUAUUCAAGGUGACGGCUUCAAGUCUCUUGAAGAAGGUCAAGACGUUUCUUUCGAUAUCGUUGAAGGAAAUCGCGGACCACAAGCAGCAAACGUUGUAAAAUUAUAAUCCAUAACCACCCAUAAAUGAAAAAGGCAUCGAUCCUCCGGAUCGAUGCUUUUU